AUGGUUGCAAGAGAUGUUUUGGCUAUUCCUGCCUCCACAGUUGCAUCUGAAUAUGCUUUUAGCGGAGCAGGACGAGUGGUUGACAAGUAUCGUAGUCGUUUGGACCCUGAAGUUGUUGAGGCUUUGAUCUGUACCAAAGAUUGGAUAAGAGCCUCUAGAAAAGAUAAUAAAUGUGAUGUAGCUUCAAUAAUACAAGAUUUAGCUAUCAUUGAUAUUGCUGGAGAAGGCGAGCAAGGCGAGAACAAUGAAGAUGAUGGUUUACACGAACGAAGUGCUUCUAUCCCUACAGAUGAUCACAACGCCUUGGAGAUAGUUUGA
rnacentral:rRNA from 1 species